ACCUGCGGAAGGAUCAUUGUCGUGAACCUGACGAAAAUAGACCGCGAACAUGUCCUCCAUGGUGCCGAUUGAUGGGGCUUGCAGCCGUCUUUCGGUAUGGACCACCAUCAUCCUGUUGAAUGGUAGUGGCCCUAAAAGAACCCAUGGCGCCGUAUGGUGCCAAGGACCACGACGAACAUUGCCUUGCAUGGUGCCGGAACCGAACCCGUGCGGCGAUGCUAUGUUAAACCACAAGACUCUCGGCAACGGAUAUCUCGGCUCUUGCAUCGAUGAAGAACGUAGCAAAAUGCGAUACAUGGUGUGAAUUGCAGAAUCCCGUGAACCAUCAAGUUUUUGAACGCAAGUUGCGCUCGAGGCCUUUUGGCUAAGGGCACGUCUGUCUGGGCGUCACACCAAAAGACACUCCCCACCCAUUCCGUUGAGGACGUGGUAUUUGGUCCCUCGUGCCAUUGUGUGCGGUGAACCCAAGACGGGGCUGCCGGUCGGGACGAUCACAGCACAAGGUGGAUGACACACUCGUUGUUGCUCUCGGUGCCACGAUCUGAACCCGUUCUGGAGAUGCGAUGGCCCUUUGGAUCCAUUUACCGAAGCGCGUGGCGCUUGGACCACGACCCCAGAUCAG
rnacentral:rRNA from 1 species